AGAACCAUGAACCUGUUAGGUCAGGUGUGGAAGACAGAAUAAUGGUCUCACAAAGUUAUCCACAUCCUCAUCCCCCGCACCUGUAAACAUGUUCCUUUUCAUGACAAAAGAGACUUUGCUGACCUCAAAGUUCUUAUGGUGGAAAGAUCUGAACUCCACCCAUGGCUUCGCCUAAUCACAAAUGUCUUUAUAAAAGAAAGGCCAGAGGAACCAUUUUUAACUCUUGGAAACCCACGGCUUCUCAAACUUUUCUUUAGGAAGACCUAUUAACAUACUAAGGGCUAAUUAUAACAAUGAUGAGACUUAACAUUUGUGGACCGUGAACUCCAUUCCAGACAUGGUGUUACACUCUUUAAACAUAAUCAAAUUCCCCGCAAUAGCCUUAAGAGGUCAUUAUUACUAUUCUCAUUUUACAGAGUGAUAAACUGAGGUUCAGAAAUGCUAAGUGGUUGGGUUCAUGGCUGUACAGCUAGUGACAGAGCUCAGAUUUAAAACAUUACCUAAUUCCAAUGCCCAUAUUCUCAGCCCUCCACCCUUCUGCCUAUUCUUGAGAAACAUACUUUGAGAAACACUAAAUAGGCUUAAGUGAAAACACUGAUGCACAAUGUCUAACAUCUUGCAUCUCUUCUCAUGGUUCCAAUAUUCCAUGUUAACCCCACUGCUAAUCUCAGAGCCGGGUGCAGAAUGGAAACCUAUUUCAGUCUGGUCUGAAAGUAAUUAAACCUCUGGAGUGUGUACAAGGUAAGGGGAGUUUCCUUUCCAUAAAGGAACAGCUUUCAGGUAUAAAGUAACUAAAGUGUGGGGAUGUGACAUGGCCACAUAGGAUUAGUACACUUAAAUAUAACCCAGUAAAGAGACACCAUUCAGACAUCACAAACCUGUCACCAUCUCCCUGGCUUGCCUAUAAAAAUUAAUUAUUGGUUAAAAUCAGCAGAGAAAAAUCUCAGACUGUUAGGUGAAAAACGUUUUUACAGGCAAUCCUAAUUAUAUAUAAUAUUUGGGACUUUGUUGAAGAGAGAGUUUCAUGCAGCAGAGUUGGAAGAAUUUUUUUUCUAAACCCAUGUUUUUUCACUUUAAAAUAGCCUUCAUAAGGCUCUUUCUGUGUUUUGGAUGCAUAUUUUUAGUAGGCAAACAUUAUCCUUUGCCAGCAUAUUUUACUGGCGUAUGCUUCAACAUCUUUAGUGAUUACUACCAAAAAAGUUUGUAGCUUUUAAUUCUUCUAGAUAAUAUAUCUAUUUUUGUCAGUCUCUAUGUUAAAUAUGGGGAAUCAUUUUGACAUGCAUAGGCGCUCACGAACAUUAGACAAAUUUUAAAUUACUGGUAAUAUUUUACCAGUUUUUUAUACAAUUUUAUACAGAGACAAAGCAAUUUCAAAAGCGAAUCUCACGUAUUUACAGACUUUAAAAGGAAAAAGCACUUUUAUCCACAAUGCUUUAUCCCCAAAUGAAUAAUAUUAUAUACAGUAUUUAGUUUGGGAAUGGAAAAAAAUACAUUAGUAGGAAAACUAGUGAAAUAUGCACAUAAUCUUGAGUUUAGUAUAACAAUGUACUAAUGCUAAUUUCCUAGUUUUGACAAAUCUGCUAGAGUUAGAUUAGAUGUAAUAUUAGGAGAGUUGAAUAAAGGAUAUAUAAGAACUAACUUUACUAUCUUUGCAUCUUUUCUGUAAGUCUAACAUUAUCUCAAAAAUAAAAGGACAUUUUAAAAAUUGAAGAAUGUCACCCAUGUUAAAUGACAUGAGUUUAAGGAUGCUGUUACUUGUGUGUCCAGACUAGGGCUCAGAUUACAUUAAAAGCUAACAUUCCACUCUCCCCAUCUCCGCUGCUUCUGCAGACAUCUAGCUGCAAAAUCUAGCAGACAUCUAGCCAGGAAAACAAAGCCAGUUAGCAAAGCAAUAAAAUGCCCUGUGAUUGACACCCCUAAGAGGUGAUGGUUGGUUUGUUAACCAAAUCUUUCUAUCCUGAUCAGCUUCUUCAUUAAAGAGCUGGCUCCUUGUGGCUUCCUUCUCUUUUCACAAAGUACCAAGCCAGAGUAACACACAAACAAAACUCAACCUCAAAAUGUCACUUCAUGGUCACAUGUAGAACCACUAGGAAUUUAUUUGCUCAUCAUCUGUCUCCCCAUCUAGGUUCUGCACCUCUCUAGAACCCCAGCACCUUGGCUGAUGCAGUGGAGGCUCAAACGUCAUUUGCUAAUGGGUGAGUUCAUGAAUUAACCAGCUGGCAUUUGUAUGAGUGGAGUCUUGCAGGAUGUAAAGAAAAGAUUGGAUCCUCUGUACACAAGUUGGGAACAGAGAUUUUGUGUUCACAUGUGUAUUUCCCAUAAGAAUUAGGGAACAAGGUUCUCGGUGACCUGAGGCAUGUGUGUGAAAUCAGAGCUGAAUAAGUCCACUGAAUACAAGGAAUAUGAGGAAUGCAUCUUUCCUUAGGAAAACAAACCAGGUAAACAUAGUUCACACCAACCCCUGACAGAAUGAGAACAAAGAAUACAACCGCCCCACUAAGACAUGGCCCCACAUUUCCUAAUAAGGGAAAGCUCAAAUUCUUGCACUCACUUAUUAGACAAAUAUUUUUUGAGACCCGGGGCUUUAAUAGUAAGCAAAUAAAAUGGACAGGAGCCCUGCCCUCAUAGAGAGUAAACAAGAGAAAUAAGUAAUCAAGACUGUUCCAGCUCAGAGGCUCGCCUUCCCUCACUUAUCCCCCCAAUGAUGCCAGGUCCACAGAGACCAGUAGAAGAGAGGUGGUUCAUGAUUUGAAACUACAAGUCUGGGGCAGGCUUUAUUAGCUGAAGAAAUGUGGGCAUCAAUCAGCAGGAUGGUUAUUGAAGAUUCAGUGAAAUUAUUUGGAAGCUCUAAUUCAUAUAAAACUCUUUAUAGAUACACCAUUCAUUCAUUCAUUCAUUCAUGACAGUCUAUAUUCAUUCAUAACACUUUCACUGAGCACCUAAUAUGUACCAGAAUCUAUAGAGACCCAAAGAUAAAGAGAAUGAGGGGUUCCUAUUGUGGUUCAGUGGGUUAAGAACCCGACAUUGUGUCCUCGAGGAUGUAGGUGCGAUCCCUGGCCUCGCUCAGUGGGUUAAAGAUCCAGCAUUGCCACAAGCUGUGGUGUAGGUCACAGAUGUGGCUUGAUCCAGUGUUGCCUGGCUGUGGUUCAGGACUGCAGCUGCUGCUCUGAUUUGACCCCGGCCCAGGAACUUCCACAUGCCACAGGUGUGACCGUAAAAAGACAAAAAAGAGAGUGAGAGAGGAAAUGACAGCAGGGCUCUCAGGUCAUCCCCAGACCAGAAAGGAUCAGCAGAGGUUUUCUGUUAAGGGCUAGAAAGUAAAUAGUGUAAAGCCUCAUGGGCCAUGUAGCAUCUUUGUUGCAUAUGUGUCAUGUCAUUUGUUUAAUUGUUUGUUUUUACCACACUUUAUAGAUGUAAGAUUUACCAUUCUCCAUGGCCUUACCAAAAAAGCCCAGGGAUCAAAUCUGGCCUAUGUAACAUAAGUUACCAACCCUGAUCUAGAAGUCUGACAAAAUAACAACUACAGCCUAAUGUGUGCUGAAAGUGAUGUCUGUGCUGUCAUUACUGUCUGUUUUCUGAUGUAAUUCUUACAGAAAAAGCCUCUAAGUUAGCAUCCAGAAUGCCACUAAAUUUUUAAAGGGAAAACAUGAGGGCAAAUAUAACUGCGGUAACUGCAUCUGCUCCCUCCUUCCUUGCUGUCAUAACACCAGUUUGUUAAAGGCAGCAGUUCAGUACCCAGCUAAAUAUUUGUUUUCUAGGUUUACUUGGAAGAGGUCACCUUUGGCACAGUUCUGUCCAAUAGGUUGUAAGCACAAUUCUGCUAGACUUUUGGGUCUAGACUUUUUCCUGAUGAAAGAAAACUAAUAUAUCUGGUGCCUUCCAUUGACCAUUGUUCCUGCUUGAAUUUGGAAUUGCUGUCUAGAGCUACAGCAGCCAUCUUGUGACCAUGAGGCAAUGAGAAUGAAAAAGGGCCAAGGAUCUCACAGAGAGGCUAGCUCUUAGAUCACUGAGGCUUUGGGCCAUGGUGAGAGAACUCUUUCUUCAUAAAUCUUUAUUUAUUUUGUUAGCCAAUUUAAGUUGAGUUUUCCCUUACUGGUUUCUAAAAUCAUUAUUUAUAAAGGAAAGCCUAGUGAUCUACUCAGGGUACCCCAGACAGCUGACGACAGAACUGGAGUGAGGUGAGAGAUUCUGGACUCCUUUAUCAUCAUCACCACCAUCAUCACCACUACCGCCACUAAUGUUUACUAAACAUUGACAUGUAUUAUCUUAUUUCUUUAUUAUGUAAUUAUCUAUUUAUCAAUCCAUAUCCAAUGUAUCGUCUAACAGUAACUUAAUAAUCAAAAUUUGUGUCUAAUUAUUAUAUAAUUAUCCAUCCUGUAUUAUCUAAUGUGACAAUAAUUCUGAUAGAGGAGAUGUAAGUCACCUUUUGGGUCAGGAAACUAAGUCUCAGGGACUAAUUUGUCUGCUGUCUCAUCUGUGGUUUUGGUCACACUGUCCCUGGUUCUUAGACAUAUCCGAGAAGCAAGUCUCAGCCUUUGUAAUUACCAAAGUUGAAUAAGCCUCUCACUUAAUUUCCUUUUUCUCUUCAACCUUAGGAAUUACCAUCACUGGGAACACACAAUUUCCCAGAAGGUGACAGUUCAACUAGUUUGGCAUUUGAAAAUUACCAUUAUGAGUUUUAGCAUUGUGAGCAAUUUCUUCCAGCCUCACGGUUUGCAGUUUGUUCUUCGUCUUUUAACUAAUGAUGGGAUGACAUAUUUCUUUGGUUUUCUAAUUUCCUUCUAGACU
rnacentral:lncRNA from 1 species